rnacentral:rRNA from 1 species
CCUACGGGAGGCAGCAGUGGGGAAUAUUGCACAAUGGGGGAAACCCUGAUGCAGCGACGCCGCGUGAGUGAAGAAGUAUCUAGGUACGUCAAGCUCUAUCAGCAGGGAAGAAAAUGACGGUACCUGACUAAGAAGCCCCGGCUAACUACGUGCCAGCAUCCGCGGUAAUAAGUCUGGGGCAAGCGUUAUCCGGAUUUACUGGGUGUAAAGGGAGCGUAUACGGAAGCACAAGUCUGGAGUGAAAUCCCGGGGCUUAACCCCGGAACUGCUGUGGAAACUGUUCGUCUGGAGUGCAGGAGGGGUAAGCGGAAUGCGUGGUGUAGCGGUGAAAUGCGUAGAUAUUAGGAGGAACACCGGUGGCGAAGGCGGCUUACUGGACUGUAACUGACGUUGAGGCUCGAAAGCGUGGGGAGCAAACAGGAUUAGAUACCCGAGUAGUC